GGGCGGUGCACGAACCGGGAGCAGCGCCACGGGGCUUCCCAUUCCCCCAGAAGGCCCUAGCCUAGCUCAGCCCUGCUGGGAGGGUCGUGAAAGGCCCUUACAAUCCUCGGCCAUUGGGCAUUUCUUGUCUCCUGGGUUAAGGACACCUGCCAGUCCGUGCCUAUUUCAGUAACACAUCAAAGAGACGACAUGUUUGCGGAGGAAGUAACUAAUGCAGUUCUGCUGCUGCAUAAUCACUUAGCUGAAAAGUACUUAGACUCCAAAGUACAAUACAGCUCUCUUCCUUACACUCGUGUUCAAAAGUAAUGGCUGAUUUGCUAAGACUCCACAGUAGCUUUUAAACUCAAGUGAAACUUGUUUCUUUUGGGUGGAUACGGGCUUGGGAGUCGGGAGAUGUGAAAUCUGGGCCUUACCAUUCACUUGUACUUUAAUCUUUUGCAAUCCUGGGACUUCUGGGCUUCAGUCUCCCUAUGUGUAAAAAUAGAGGUGAUAAAAAAAAUCCAGUGUGAAUACAACUAUUAUUUUAAUGUGUGGGUUAUAUUUUUGUAAUUGAAAGCCAAAUUCAGAUCUUUUACCCCAGUGUAAAUCUGAAGUAACUUCAUUGACUGCAAGAGAGUUACUCCAGAUGGACACCGGUGUAAGUGAGCAGAAUUUGAACUAGUGUUGGUACUCAAAUACAAACAUCCAUACAGUUACCCAAAUACCUGAUGAUAGAGUUCUCAAAACACAAUCCCUGGUGCAUGCUUAUUUUUAAUACUGUAUAGAAAUUAGAGUAAAUAGUUUCUAGGAAAAACUAAUUUUUUGAAAUUUUACAUAAUUUUUCUGUUAAUUUCUAAAUACUUAUCUGACUCUGAGAUCAGACAAUUAAUACAAAGUUAGUCUUGUAUCAGAAACUAAACGUGGACAUAACUGAGAGGAAGAUCUAAUUUUAUUUUGAGUGAACAUUUGGUACAAUAACUUGCAUUUUCCUAGAAAAUGUCUAUUUUCCAUGCUUCUACUGUACUUUAUUAUACAGUAUAAUUUUCUAGGCUGGAAAGUGAUCCCUGACUAUAAUCCUUUAUUUUAUGCAUUUAAACCAUACCACACCCCAAAUUCCCCCAGGGAAUUUUCACUUGCUGAACCCAAUGGGUCUCAUUUAAUGUGGCCUCCUCUCUGCUGCUAUUGUGAAGUGAGGCAACAGCUGUCAGUGUGCCAUUUGUAGAGAUUUUUUUAAAAGUACCUGCCUGUCUCAAGGGCUAGGGCUCGACUGGUAACUUUUCAACUAGUUGUUGAAAUACCCUGAUAAAUGAGUGAUUAGUUUCAUUCCUUUAGCUGUUAGAAAGGAACUGUAGAGACCCAAAAUAAGUGAGCAGCGUGUUCCUCAUGUGCAAACCUCAAGACAAUAGAGGUGGCAUGGAAGGCAGUUCUUGAGAUGGCACAAACAGGUCCAGCGUCCUGAUGAGCAGUGGGAAUUGUGACAGUGUGUAUGGAGUGAUGAAGGAUCUUUUACACUGGGAAGAUCAAACUGAGCGGAGACAAUUUCCUGCAGAAAAUUCCUUGCUUGCAUUACUCUGGAGUCAAAGAAUAUUUUGCUUCCAUGCUGUUUCACCAGUUUAUAUAAAGGGAAUGAGUACACUAUUCCAAGGGAUGUGUUCCAGAAAGACCUGCAAAGAUUGCCCUCUGCCACCACUCUCAUUUAGACCUAUUAAUCCAGGAGGAGAACUCCUGUAGUUCCAGACCACAGGAAUGGUUGUUACUCUGAUACUUGCCACACUUGUUAAAUAUAAAGAAAAAUGUUAUGCAAGUAAUUAUGGAUCUGUUCAAUAUCAGAAUUAAACCCUUUUCUUUUGUAUCAGAUAGUAACAUGGAGUGUAUAGUUACUCUUUACAGCAUUACAACUAGCAAAAUGAAUCAGCAUCCUGCUGAUGCAUUGCUCUCCACCCACAUUAAAAAGGAGACCAGUUGUAACAGGAUUUGAU